GGCACAAUAGGAGUUGGCAGCAGCUUCAAGGUGAAGUCCAACUUUAGAGCCUGGGAGACCCUGCUUCUCAGAGAACUUGAGCUGGACCUGGAAAUUAAUAAAUCCAAGACAACCACAUGAUGGGUUUGUCCGUCUGGAUGAAGACAGCAUUAUCCACAUUCUGAAUUGCCACUGAUCUUCUCUCAUCUAAGUCGACUGUGGUGCCUUUGGCAGAGAAGGAAAUGAAUGCCAGAGGAUCAGAAGUAGCAGGUGGGACCUGGAGAGGAACAAAAUCCCAGAGAAAAGAUGUUGCAGGGUCACAAGAAAGGGAAUGAGCAUCACCCAAUCUGGGUUCUCCAACUUGACACUUAGACAGUCCCAAAUGGAGCAUGCAGCUGUGAU